rnacentral:circRNA from 1 species
GUACGAGUUCAGUGGAGGAGACCGCAAGUUGAGUGGAGGAGGCGGCGGUGGGGCCCCGGACCAGGUGCCUCCAUGGCAGGCUCUGAAGAGCUGGGGCUCCGGGAAGACACGCUGAGGGUCCUAGCUGCCUUCCUUAGGCGUGGUGAGGCUGCCGGGUCUCCUGUUCCAACUCCACCUAGCCCUGCCCAAGAAGAGCCAACAGACUUCCUGAGCCGCCUUCGAAGAUGUCUUCCCUGCUCCCUGGGGCGAGGAGCAGCCCCCUCUGAGUCCCCUCGGCCUUGCUCUCUGCCCAUCCGCCCCUGCUAUGGUUUAGAGCCUGGCCCAGCUACUCCAGACUUCUAUGCUUUGGUGGCCCAGCGGCUGGAACAGCUGGUCCAAGAGCAGCUGAAAUCUCCGCCCAGCCCAGAG